AUGCAUCCGUAUUGUGGAGGAUGUAGUGAUGAGGUGGAGGAUGACCUCCGAGUUGUUGAAGAUGGAGCCCUGCGUCGUGGAAUUGUCACGGCAGAUGUCCUAGGUAGUUCACCGGGUUGCCAUUGUGCUCCACGGCGAGCUGGCCGAACCGGUGCCCGGCAAGGAAUGGUAACACGUUGCAUAGUGGGGCAUCGCCACAGGAGGUGGACUAGCGGAUGUGGCCAAUGGUGGCCUGGCCGUGGAAGCUAUUGA
rnacentral:rRNA from 1 species